GAAUGUGUAAUUAAUAAUUUUAGUAUGUGGUAACCAUUUUAUAAAAGAAGUAAACCACUCAAGACUAUGCUAUUCUGAAUAUUGUCAUAGCUGUAGACAACCCGCGACACAUUGUGGCUAACUAUUCAUAAUGGAGUGAAGCCUUACGUACCUCAUUGCUUAAAUGUAUGUGCCAUUUCUAGUCUUAAUAAUUAGCCCCUUUAGUAUAACAGUUAGUAAAGUACACCUCGUGGCUCUAACCUAUCAUGAUUUCAUGAUCUCAUUUUCCAUUAGAUAUUUGAGAGGCCAAAAUUAGGUUCUGACGUCUCCUCAGUGGACGGAGCCAACCUUGAAAUUGAAAAGAACCUGCUUGAGAGAAUCAAGUCCAUUAAGAAGGAAAAGAACGAUUUGGCCUUCAGACUGCCUGAGUUUGACCAGGAUAGCUCUGAUGCUGAGAACAUGGACUCAGAAUCAUUAGUCAGCUCUGAUAGUCUACUAGAAGACCAUUGUGUGAGUUUGGACUCGGAAGCAAACACUGCCUUGAACAGCUCUAAGCCAGAAAAACCUGCUAAACGACAU